UCCCCAGGCAUCCUGGAUAAUAUCACUCAGAUAGCACCGAUUCAACUCCUGACCUGGCAGACAGUGCUGGGUGUCCCACCGUGCUCCAUUGAGUGCACUAAGCCUCACAUAAGCCCACUAAGCCACUGGGCUACUUUGGCUGGCUACACCGAGCUGCUGGAGUAACCACGCUGCUCCUGGGAUCCUGCCCCAAAGGGGAUUGCUCCAGCCAACCCUGGAAGUCGGGAUGCCUCGGACAUGCCAUGAAGAAGCAGAACUUGAGGGAGAUGCACAGCAUGUAGUGCCACGCUGCGGUCGCAGUUGCUGAGUGUCCGUGGGCUAGAAGCCUCUUGGGGUAUCACAACAACCCUCUCAAGAUGACUGUGCUGGAGCGCUAUGACUGAAUCAAGAUGAACAGACAGCCUCUCAGCCAGUUUGGAAACUGAGGCACAAAGAAAAGUGACUCACUCCAUAGCUAACUACCAGAAACUGUUCUAAGGGAUAGAAGCCUUGCAAGAAAACACAAUUUUUCAUUAAGCAAGAGGAGCUGACACAAGUGCCCACUGUAUCCAUGAAAAGUUGACAGUGUUACAGAAUGAAGGUUGUGAAAACUGUCCCUGUGAAUAUCAGUAGAGACCACAUUUUGAGAGCAGCCAGUGCCUUCCCCUGCAGAGCUGAGCAGAGUUCGGUUGUAGCAGAUCUGCAAGUUUGCUGGUGAGAAUAAUCACUGCCUUAACAAUGUAUUUUUGCACUUUCAAUCAUCAGCUUUAGCUGUGCCACGCUCUGCAGUGGCACUGACCAGCUGUGGGCAACAGAGUUAAAGAAGAGUCGCCUGUGGUGACAGCUUUGCUUAAACUUGUUUAUUCUGUAGAGUUUCUUGUUCUUUCUCCUAAUUCAAAAAUACCUUUGCCUAGAGAUUUUUUCAGUGAGUAAAUACCAUUUCCAACCAAAGAACAGCAGCUGCAAAUGGAUCAGGUGCUGCACAUCUUGGGGAGAAAAGCUCAGCAGUGUCCAGCCCAGAUCACACCUGGAUUCACUGUGAUCCUCCAAAAGGGCUGGGUAGCUCUGGAAGAGUAUGAUUAAACCUUCCUGUGAUUGGUUUCUUCCACUGUAAAAUCAAAUUCAUACCUCUCUCAUGUUUCUUGGCAGAAGGCAGGGGAAUCCUGCCACAGGGAUGCAGAUAGCGAUACAGCCCGGCGGUGGUCCUUGGAGGAUGCUGACUCAGCCCCAUGCAGGGAUUUUGUAUUUUUUCAUCCCUCAGCCACCUCUGCUGCCCCAGGGGACACUGAAAUGACCAAGGACUGAGAAAUUUCUCUCACAACCUACAGAUGGGAAAAAGGAGCAAAUCGUAGCAUCUGUUGAACAAGGAGAGAAAGGUUCCUUCCCAUACAAGGAGGAGCAAGGAAGCUAUUGGGGAGCAGAGCUUUCACACAACAGCUUUCUUUCAGGUACCCUGGCUCCCCAAAUCUAUUGGUGUAGCAUUUUGGGCUUGCAGAUGGUGUAACACCUCAAGGGCUGGGCAAUUUGUGGCUUGUGAGCUACCUGUGGCUCACAGACUGUUUAGAGCUGGUUCUUUUGCCAGCAGGCAGCAGUGGCAGGCAGGUGGGCUGCUCCAUAACCCACAUCCCUGGAUGGUUUUUGGUUUUGACACACCAAAAAUUAUUUGCUGGGCCACACAGCUACUGAAUACUUGUCUUUUCUGCUCCCCUGGGGAGCCAGAUGUACCCUGGGAGCAUUAACUUCUUCCAGCAUCAUAAACAUGGGUUGGCAUCUUUGGAAUGACAGCAUUGCCAUGCAAGAGAGCAUGAAGGUGCCUGAUCUGUGGCCUGGUUUCUACCAAGAGCAAUAUCAAAGCAAUACCUGAUCAAUGGAGCAGAUGGUGGGAAUAAAGUGGUGCAUUGCAAGAGGGAGUCAGGAACACCAGUUUGCCACUUUUGGCUUUCCCAGUAGGUAAGGAAAUACCUGGAUGGAUUUAAGCUGUAACCAGCACCAGGACGUGCCAAGACCGUCCCCAAAAUCCUUGUGUGAAAUUGGGUCUCCUGGGAAGCCAGCCCAGAACACAGGGUAUAUAAUGACCUGCCUGACUGGAAGCCAUGGCAGGUAGUGAGCAGCUUGAGUCACACCUGGGCUGGGUCCCCAGGCUGUGACAGACUCCCAGCUUGGGUGGGUCAAGGUGCGACUGCCAGGUUCUGUGUCCCAAAUUUUGAGGCAGUCUGGAUGCAUUACUGGCAGAAGGCCGUGUGGGGCAGAAGAUGACAGCCAGUAGACUGUUGGAGGAGACCCAGCUUGGCAGGGAGAUCAAGGUCCUGGGAGAGGGAAGGAAAAGGAGAGGAACCAGGAAUGAGAACUGGGCUGGGAUGGGGUGUGGGUAGUGGAGCUGAAAAGAAACAUCUGAGAGUCUUUCUGUGGGAGGAUGAGAACUGGAUGCUCCUGGAGCUGGCAGACCCAUUGAGCCCUGAUCCAGAUGUUUCCUAGCAGGCCAUGGAGGCUCUGCAGCAUCUCCACCUCUGAGUCUUGCUCUCAGCAGUACCCAGGGGAGCUGGGGAAUGACAGCAACAGCUCUGCAGGCUUUGGCACAUCCCAGCUGCUAUGAAACUCUGUGGAGGAGAAGUCCCAUCUCCUUUGCUCUUUGCCUUAUACAACCCCAGAUCCAGUUCCUGGAUAGUGACCCCUUCCUUUGCAUGGAAAGGAGACAGACUGGACAAGCACAGGGAGUACCCAGGGCAGCAUUGAAGCACCAGGGAUGGGAGCAGGGGGGCUGCUGAAGAUAGCUCUGAAAAGUGUGGUAGACUCUGACACACUUAAUUGCAAGAAGAAAAGAGAGGUGAGCUUAGGAUGUGCAGGUGACCCUGGCAUUUCUGUUGCAUGUGGUCAAAAAUGGUGUGUUCCUUGUUUCUCCAACACUUUUCUCAUUAUCCUUCCACUGAAAACAUUCACUUCUUAUUUGUAAAUGUAAAUCUUUAUGAGUUGGGAAAUCUGCUGCUGACUCUCAGGUUGCAAGCCCUACGCCCUUUCAUGCUUCCCAGGAGAGAGGCAAGCUCCCUGUGCACUCUAUCUCUUCUCCCAUCAGCUGUGAAUCAUAGGCCAUCGACAGCAGCUCAAGUAGAGGGAGAGCAAGAUGUAAUUAAAAUCCUCAGGGAGUGCUGCAGCCAUCUCUCUGUGCUAAGCCUUUUGAGGUUUUCAGUUUUUCAUUAAAAAAUCCCAAAUUUCCUACUGAAGAAACAGGAGGAAAUUUUCUAACUACACAGUUUCCAAUCUAUGGCCAAGCCACAGAAGAUUUGCUGUUGUUUCCUGGCUCCAAACUCAAGAACCUGUCUAGCCAGGGACUGGUGCUCAGAGCUGAGCCUCUGGAGGUGCUUCACCAGACCAACCCAAACCAUGGCUCUCACCAGCAACACCAUGCUGAUGUGUACUCUUGAAUCCAGUUCAUCCAACCCCUCCCACCAUGCACCCCAGGAACAGCUCUGCAGAACUGUAUGGAUUUACACCUCUGUACAACAUGAAUCAUGUCCAGCGAGUCUUGAACUGACCCUUGCAAGGAGCUCCUGAGGCAUUGCAUGGAAAUUAUUUAUGGGUGUUUUUUAUUGCCUGUAAGAGGAUGUAGAAAUCAGGCAGCACCCUUGUGGUUUUCUUCUGUCAAAUUAUGAUCAAGGUUGCUAUUUUGCUGCCCAAAUAUUUAAGUGUGAGACAGAAAUCUUUACAAGGGCUACCACAUUCCUUAGGUUAUCUCUAUUGGUCCUGCCUGGGCCUAUAAAUACUAAAGGGACUACCAAAGUAAAUAACACACUUGCCUGCACAUAUGCUGCUCCAAGGGAUUUCCCGUUUCCUGUAUCACAAAGGUCAGUAGGUCAGGGACCUACUUGCAAAUCAAUAGAAAAUUAGCUUUCAAGUGACACCUGCAUUAACCUUUGAUUCUUGUUGGUCUAGGUGAGGUUAAGGCCACCAAUCCCUAUAGUCUUCCAUUGUACCUAUGAUUUAUUUGCAUUAUGAUUUAUUUGCAUUAUUUGUUUCCCUUCUUGAUCUUUGGAAUUGCUGGCACAGUUCCCACACAGCAUGCAGAGUUGUUUCCCUGCACAUUGGUCAGGAAUGGCAGGAGAUCCACAAGGCUGUGCUUUUUGCUGACAGGUGUCAGAAACAAUAAGGAAAAUGUAUAUGUUUGGAAAUGAAAAGAAAACCAAAACAAACAAGAGGAAGCAACUACAAAGACCCCCUUGUCAACAUAAAACUUUUCUAUCUAAAAGUUGUGUCCUUAGCUCAGUCAUUAAUGACAGUCAUAGGUCAUUGAAAGUGAAUGAGUUGUAAAAAUCAAAUUCACUUGCCAUUAUAGCUGAUCUGGAAAGAAAAUUGCUGGGUCCUACAGCCUCCAAAGUGGUGUGAAUCACUUGUUAUUUUCAUCAGGGGCUGGUUCACGCCUUGUAUUCCUUUCAGCUUGUGUGAAGAAAUCAGACCGGUCAUUUCUUGAUUCAAAUCUGCUUGUUUCUUUUGCUGUCCAACCCUUGCAUUGUUGCAAGCCUGUGCUCAUCUAUGAGGACCAAAGAGUUUAUCAGGGCAUCCCCUGCUCACCUCAUCUCUCCUUCUCCCACAGCAAUGCUCAUAUGUUACAGCUCAGUGUCGCAGCUCACCUCCAUCUCCCUAGGCAGGACUAAAUUUAUCAAAAGGGUCAUGGUCCUGCCUGGGACCUGACAAAGGGGUCAUCAGACCCUGUGCUAGAUGCUUUCCCCACAAGCCAAAUAAUGUGGGAAUUGGGCUGUGACUCUUUUCCUUCUCCCCUUCCAUAGGGGUACUAAGAUAUCUCUUUUCUGGGUAUUAUUAGGCUUCAAUUGUCAUGCAGAGACUCAUGGACAGAGAUCUCUUUCCAUCACUUCAGACACUGUUUCUUAGUGUAUGAGGCAACUACGUCUUUUGUUUGUUUCUAAUUCCUCCUUUGCACCCCAGAGAAAUGCUACUUGGUUGCUUUGCUGCUGGUGGAAAUUCUUCUGCAAAGCACCGCUCUCUGCAGACAUCAGAGAUGUGGUGAUCAUCGGAAAAUAGCUGAUGUAUCUCCAACAGCUCCUGCAAGGACUGAAUUCCCAGUCAGCCCAAGCAAUCCCAUCAGAGUGUGCAAGAUGCCCAGCAGGCCUUAGAUAACAAUAAGCAAUGCUCAGUUGGCGGGGAACACUUUGUACUCAAGGCCACUGUGGUGGUUUGACAACAAUCCACUGGCACAGGGCACCACUGUGCCCCUGCUGCCCUUUUCUGGUCCAUGGGAACACCCCAGGUGCAAGGGGGCCAUGCAGCUCUCUGAAGCUGGGUUUCCUGUUGCUCUGGGCAUGUGCAUUUUUGGCCACUGGCUUCUGAUUGUCACUUGGGACCUGUGGGUGCUUCUGGAAAGCAAUUAACAGCCAGAAUUAAAAUGGGCAGACCAUAGGACUUGGCACUCUGCAGCUGGCAAACGCUCCCUACCCCUCUGGCUUACUUCAAGCCCUGAACCUAGCUGAUUGUAUCCCAUUAACUGGCUUUAGUUCUGGAUGCCGUUGAGAGUCUGCCAAGCACAAUCUGUAGGAUGUUUUAAUUGGAGCAGAGAACAGUAAUAAAAAGACCUUUGACUGAGCCCUGCAGACGAGGCUAAUGGGAGGGGAGGACCAUGCCACUGUUCGGUCACUUCCCUUGAGCUGUCCUUGUUAGAGGGAAUGGACCCAAGAUCCUAAUCUGUUUGCCAGCUGACUCUUCUGCCCAGCCACUUUGUACACAGCAGAAAUGUACCCUGACCACCCAAAGCUGCCAGGCACAGUAGCACUGAAAAAUUUGCUGUGGCUUCCUGAAGCCAAUGUGGCUGUAGCAUCCCUCAGGGGCUCACCUGGGAGGCUGGGAACAUCUGUUUGAGGUCCAGCACAGAGAUAGGAAGUGAAGAUAUUCCCUUCCUAUAAAUGCCAUGGGAACAGGCAUCAAGAAGCAUCUGGUGAAGAGCUUGCAAUGUAAUAUCCUCCUUAGCCCAUUUACAUUCAAGUGAUUUCACUUUUCAAGGAUCUUCCUGGGAAUUCGAGGUCAGGAUCUAUCCCAUAGUCUUCACUCACAGCCUCUCAAAGAAAAAUUGUCUUCAAAUCUUUCUCUUUGCCUCAUCUAGAUCCUGAAAGCUGGGCUUUGCCAUGGAGAGAUGCCACUACUUUUAAGAUUCUUGCAGGAACCUUUCCUGCAGAGCCCCCAAGGUGGCCAAACCACCACCUCUUUAUGACACUUUUGGGAUGCCCACCCUCAGCACCUGAAGCUGAAUCACAGAAUGGGGCUGGACCAAGUCUCUGCUUUGUCCCAGUGGUUGUUUCCCAAGGAGACAGUUGAUCUGAAGCUCUGCUGGUAAAAGCUCAAGCACUGGGACUGCUCUGCCACCUGGGAGCCUCGGCAGGCAGCAAACGUUUCCUGCUUUUCACCCUCCUUUCCUUUCAGUGUCUGCUUUGAGCUACUUGGUGUCCUUGCUGUGCAACAUCACACAGCACCUGCAUUCUGCUUCACAAAGGACUGCAUUCACACAGGGGUCAGAUGGAGCCCAUCUAAUCUGCCGACCACAUGCUAUUCAGUCAGUAGGAGAACACCAAAGGGAGGCCAGACUUCAGUAUGGCAGCAAUAGAAUCAGUGCUGCCACAGAUUCCAAAGGAGUAAUUGCCAGGGACCAGCUUGUCCACACAGUCCCUUGAGGAUUGGGACAUGUGGUCAAUGGGGGCUUUACCAGGCCCUGCAGGUCCCAUUUGGGCUGGAAAUAGGGUCAGAAAGAGAUCAUCCUGGAUUAUAUGACAGCAGGUCAAAAAUCUAGUCUUGGUCCUCCUCCCGUAGCCCAGCCCUGCCUGGGCAUCCCCAUCAUGGGCAGCACGGGUGGCAGGGGGCAGACAGGGCUGUACAGGGCUGGGGAGGGUGAUGGGUGUCAGUGUGAGGGCCCAGAUCACAGCACCCCAUCCAUGCUGACUGAAAGCACAAUGUCUCACCCCCUGCCACGCACCGGCACAGUGGGACCUGACAAGGGGGAGCGCGGGUGAGGGGUUUGACUGGGACCUCGGUUUCACUUCCUGCCCUGUGUGGGGAGAGAUCAUUAAAAAUAUCUGACUAAGGCAGACUUCUUUGUUCUCGGUAUUACUAAGCCCUCCCCACUCCCCAGCCCCCUGCGAUGACAGCGGUGUGGGCAGAGCUAUUUCACUUUCCCUUGGUUUGCAGACUCACAGGUGGACAGACAGGUGUGUGGCACUGAACACCUCCUGGCCUCUCCCAGCCUUGCAGGAGCACGAUCCUUUCUCCAACAGACUUGGGUGCUUUUCCCCAGCAUCCCAGUCGGUCACAGCAUCUUAAUUCUCAGAGAGUUAUGAGGAUACCAGUUCAGGGUAAUGUGGAUGAUGCUGAGAGACAUGAGGUGGGGAUCAGGUCCCAGGGAUGCUCAGAACAAGGGAAAGUUUGCCAGGCACAGCAGAGCUGGGCUGCACAACUAUCUCCUAUGUGGUGCUGCAGAGAGGGAAAUCUUGACAAUUGCAGUCUUGGCAGUCAAUAGGUUGAUCACAAAUUGAUUUUCUCUUGGAUUAAUAUGGUUACCAUAAAAGAUAUGAGCAUUUUAACAUCUACCCCCACGACUGCAAUAUUAGUUUUAACAGCCAUGUUGACUAAUGUGCCCUGUACUUUAUAAAGCUGUAACAUGCAUUUUCUUACCAGAGUAACUCACAGCCCAGUGCACAUACAGACACUGAAGCUUAGAGGAACAGUGGUUUGUAAAUUGAUGUAUCCCCUUGCUCAUGCAUCAGGCCCUGUGGUGCAAUUAGAUACUCUGUUUUGCAAAGGCUAUAGUGAUUAAUGCUUCUGCAGAAGCCUGGGAGUUGGGAGUGGGACAGGACAUGUGAGGUGAGCAAAAACCAGGUUGCACUGGGUUGAAUUGCUAUCAGAAGCUCGUCUCUGAAACAGUCAAGAGAACAGCACAUAAAGGUCACCUGUAAAGACUGUUUCUUCUUGGUUUUCCACUCUUGUCUUACUAAACCUUUUUAUUGAUUUCACUGCAGAUAAAGACAUAAACAUUACACCUACAUGAUCUGUCAUGAGGGCUAGUAUUGCAUUCCAUGUUUCCAAAUUCCAGACUCACUUUGAUUCUUGGGCUAGAUCUACCUUCCUACACAUUCUGCCCAUCUCCAGUGCCAUCCUUCCAGCUGUACUGAUGAUUGUUAAGGGAUCCCAUCAGAGGUUGGAUUAGAUUUCAAAAUGGGUGAGAUUAACCUGUGGCAAAAUAUCUACACACCAGCUAAGCUCUAAAUCCUGAGUUUCAUUGCUACAGCAGAUUUGUGUUUUCACGUUGUUGGUGCAAGCAGGUGGCAAACUGGCAUGUGUGAAACUGCUGAUAUUCAUACUGUGCUGCAGGUAAGUGGAAGCUGCCAUAUCUCUCCAUCAAUAACUUGACUGGCACUGUCUGGUUUUGCUUCUGAAAGCUCAGGUGAGAUGUCAUUCCACCAGAAGGCUUGCUUAGCUCUGCUUGCAUAUACAUGGGACCAUCUAAACCUUGUGUGUGGAGUGGUGAUGGAUCCAGAAGCAGAUGUGAAGGGUGGAAGGAGCUGCCCACCCACGUCAACAUCCUCAGGGAGGGCAGUGGUGCUGACUUGCGCCGAUCAGACCUAUUGCCUCCCUGGAGCAGGUUGUGCCUGUGGGGGAAGCCCUGGCCAUCCUCCCACUUCUGUCACUUCACAUGGAGCAAGUGAGACAGGAGCAAGACUGGCACCCCGUGGGAAGGCACUGUGGAGGAGGCACCCAGAACAUUUUUUCAUGGUAUCAGAAGAAGCUGAUUAAUAAUCCCAGAGAUGCUGAGCCAAGCCCACUCUGGGGAGAGAGAGGGUGUUCAGUGAAUCCAUCCUCAUUUUUCCUCACAAGAGUGACAUGGUACAUAGCAGUAGUGGUGGAAUCACUAAUAGGGCAAAUUAUUUCCUGGACAGGUGGGUCCUUGAGUUUAAAACCCUGGGACAACUUGUUUGGGGAUGCUGCUGAGCAGGAGCUGGUGCAGACAAAGCCCUUCGGAGUGAACAUAUCACAAUGCUCUCCUGGAAAUUAAACCCUGACAGGAAUGUGCCCUUGGAGGCUGGAGGACACCUUAUGCAUUCAGUAGUGACCCCAUUCCCUCCUUCAAAGCAGAAGAGACUGGUCAGAGCUUGGGGGCCAUUUUUGUACAAAGUAACCAGGAAUUAGAGAGAAGUGGCUAUUUUCAAAGUGUAAUUUAAAGGACUUGGGGAUUUUGGUUAUGAUUUCAUAAAACCUGGGAGAGGUCUUCCUUAGUAACACAGAUUUUUAGGAAAUGUGGGGCUAUGUGUGCUGUUUCCAUCACCCCAGGGUGCUGCAGGUGUGUAGAGUGCUCAGGAUGCUUCAGAGAGGAAGGAGGGAGAGAAAAGCUUUUGGGAUGAAGUGGUUUUCGUUCAGCUAAUCAAAGCUCCUCACUCAGGGCUAGAACAAAGCAGCCAAGACCUCUCUUUUUUUUCAUCAUCAAAUGAGAGAGGUCUCUGCUGGUUGUCAUCACGUGGGAGGCUGCAGGUUGCUGUUACCCUGUUGUCAAGGUCUGAAACCCCUGAUCCCAUGCUCUGAAGCAAUGCCCUGUGCUAGGCAGUGCAGCUCCUCUGGGUGCUGGUGAAGGACAUCUGCCAGUCAACGCUGACUCUUCCCAACUCUUCCCAGGUCACCCUGAGCAGGAGUUGCCUCAGCCAGGUGUGGUCCUGGCCUGCAGACCCCAGCCCCUGGGCCGGGACACACCUCCCAGGCUACCCCAAACUUCAGUGCUGACCAAGAGUGCUUUGAGAAGGAGAAGCUGAGUGUGUCUGAUGCUGAAUGAGCCCUGGGUAGCAGUCUGGGGGUGACUUGUCUGUGCAGGAUACACUGAGAUGGGGCAGCAUUACCUCCUUCAGCCUUUUCAGGGCAGCAAGAGUGGGAAAAAUAGGGCAAGGGAGUGUGAGUGGGUGGGUGGCGGGGGUGUGGGACAAAGCAUGUAAAUAGGGGUAAAGAACAUGCCACGUGUGUGAGGAUGGAGGCUUGGAAAGGAAAAAUGACUUAGCUGCAAAACAGAACUCCUUUACCUGUUUUUCUCAUAAAGCAGCAUGAGGAUGUUUCUGCUAAAGCAGCCUUUCAAAGCAGCUGCAUUAUGAAAUGACUUCUUUUUAACAAAUCCAUCUGCCUGCUUUUUAAUAAGCAGGGCUUUCCACCAUUGUAUAUGUGCGAGGUCUGACCUUUUCAUAGGAAAAAACAUUCAUAACCAAAAACUAUAAAUAGAAACCUUUAGACUGGAGCAGAUCAAGAUGUAGGUUUUGUGACUUUUUUUUUUUUAAAAAAAAACAACCCAGCAUAAUGUGGGAGGAAAAAGAACAAGUUCUUUUAAAAAGUCGUAAACUUCUGUUAUUGCCUUAAGCUUACUUAAUAUUUACUGAAACAUUUAAUGAAAGACUUUCAACAGUAAGGCUUACAAGACUUCUGUAUCAAAGCAGGUAUUUUUACAAAGGAAAGGAAAAAAAGAUUAGAAGUCUGUUUAGUUUAGGAAAAAGGGUACUUCCCCCAACUAUGAAACAAAAAGUUUAUAGAAGGUUUGUAUUUCUAGAGUAAGUUAAGUUUUAUACCUUGUUCAUGUUCUGGUUCUGCAAGCUCUCAUAUAUACAUGUAACUCUGCUCAUGAGUAUAGACACUUAGCCUUCAAAGAGACUACUCAUGUGAAAAAAGCUGAUCAUUCAUUGUUUCCACUUCAAGCCAUAUUUGGUCCUGUGUUUUAAGACCCAGAUGCUGAAGGCAGGUGAAUACAUGCGAAUCUCAGCUUUCUUAAAAUAAAAAUAAAAAAAUAAAUAAAAAAUUAAAAGGGAAAAAAACCCACAAAAACAAAAACUCAGCGCCACAAGGCAAGUAAUAGAAAACCAAUCUUCUAUCUAAAUCUGCUAAUCACAGACAUUUCUUAACUGGGAGCAAUAUUUUUUAAGUAUACGACAAAAAAGUUCAAGAAAAGGGAGUAGGAAACAAUCAGUGCAAUUGUGGCUUAUUUGAGCCACGGCAGCAAAUCACUGUUGCCACAUGCAAAGACCCUUGGUGGUGCAGGUUCAGAGAUGCUCUGAAGAGCUUCACCUAGCAAACACUCAGGUAUGUCAAAGUGAAUCAAGAGAAGGCUUUGGUUAAGCAUGCAUCGAGCUCAUCUGCUGUAUCCCGUGCCUCGGAUUCUUGGAUAUGCAUAUCUCCUCUGAUAUUUAAGACAGCACAGAAAAUAAAUCAACUGGGCUGGCGCUGUCAGCAUGGAAAUAAAAAUAAGCUGUUAGCUGUAGCCAUUGAAGGGUGCAGUGGUAAUACAAUACUUAGAGUCUCUCUGUUCCUUUUUUAUAUACUUCACCAACGUAAAAAACAAUUACACUGAUCCAUAUUUCAUCAGGCAUUGCAGGCUGAGCAUCUUUUAUGACCAUUGGGUUGCUUCUCAGGUGUUGGCUUCAGCCUCCUUAGAGAGGUAUCUUUUUGCUGUGACUGCUCAGUGCCAGGAUCCUCUCCUAAGGGGCAAUAUCUCACCAGCACUGUUCCACAGCGUGGUGUGGUGACAGCCUUCCCUUGAACUGAGCACCUCCACUACCGUGACACUGCUCACGUGAGGAACAGAUCUGGACCAAAUCACGGGGUUUGUCCAGCACUCACAACACAACUCUUUUCUGCUGCAAGGUAUUUUAGGUUGAGGUCAUGUCACCACUUCCCCAAUACCUAUAAAUAUUUUUUUUUCAUAUAUUGAAAAUGGGAAGCUAUUUAGAGAUUGUAGAGAUGAGAGGGCGACAGUGAUUUCUGCAGAGAUAUCUGCUUGUGCCACCACAGCUCUGUGGACACAAGCACGUGUGCACACUCACUGCACGUAGAGUUUGUCUUGUAGCAUUUCUCCCAAAUGAUGAUGACCUGUUAACCAAAAGCCUCCCAGGCAGGAAUGAUUGAAAUGUUUUUCAGAAGUUGCAAUUGCUGCAGAGAUAUCAAGACCCAAGAGUCACGCAAAUGAUACACAAACCCUUGGGGCAGCCAGGAAAGACAUGAUGAAUUGUGCCUAGGUGUCUGAACACAGGGGAACCCCACCAUCCACAUGCAGAGAAGUGUGGCAUGGAUUUUGCCCAGCACCUGGUGUGUGUCUGCUCUCUGUCACUUGGGCUGGAUGCAAAGGUGAAAGAGGGGCUGUCCUUGGGACAAUUCGAACUCUACAACAGAUGCCUGUUUCAAGAACAGAAAGAUAUUCCUUUCUGCAGAGAUGCCCUUGAAAUGGUCAUUAAGGUGAAAUCUGGGCCUGCAGAAGCUGAUGGCAAAGUACCCCUGGAUUUUGGUCUGGUCCAAAUUCCACCCCAUGGGUUUGACUGCUGCCCAGCCAUUGCCUAAGCCUGAGGCUGGCCUUCUGCCCUACGCCGAGUUUCCUCCUACAGUCGUGGAGUCGGGCCUAGGUUGAAUCUCACCAAUAAAACAAAUAGAAUUAUAUGAUGCAAGGGUGUUCGAGUCGUGAUUUUCAUCAGUGUUUCCUUUUCACUGAGCUCAAAGUCUAGUUUGAAUGCAGCCUACUAUUUCAGUCCACAAGAAAAGGCUACAUAGAAAAUAGCUUUUGAAUCAGAUGCUUUACAUAAACCAUGCAUUUCACUAAAAACUGAUCCAUUCUGCUCUUUUUCACUCCUACAAUUGUGACUCUGCAGGGAGGCAUUAGAAGUUUCAGUACUUUCAUCUUGUCUCAGAACAUUUAAGAUAGCCAAAGCAGGUAAUAAUAAUAAUAAUAAUAUAAACAUCGAAAUCAUUCACCACAACUGAUUUAUUGGAGGAAUUUUGCCACAGGUGGGUGUGAUAAGUCAUCCAGAAAUAGGUCAUGGUUUUCUGAAAUGUAUAAGUGCAGGAUUAUUUGCCAAGUAAGUUAUACCAAAUAAAUCCUUCUCACUGUUAGUAGAUGGCACUUUUAUUUUGAGUUGUUUUGACUGAGUAGCACCAUGGUUCACAUGGUGAAUAUCUCUUUAUUGAUUGGGAACUGGAGCAGGCACCUAACCUUAACCACGUACUAGAUAUCUCCCGGUUGAAGCUAACCAUAAAUGCAUGUUCAGGCUAAGGGAACAAAGGGAGAAUGAUUUUGGUGACCAGUCCACGUGCCGGUAAUACAGAGGCCUUUUGGCAGGAAUGGGCUUGGCACUGUCCUAAGCCUGGAGAUGCUGCAGUGGGGAACAAAAGUAACAUUUUAACUGCCCUUUCAGAUGGGUUGGGGAGGCUGUUCUGAAACAGCCACAUAGGCGAUGAAACCGUGAGGGCUGUGGGAAGAUGAAACAGAGCUCUCCUUCUGUUUGGACAAAACUGUAGUCUCCCUUUGCUUUUCACGCAGCCUUGCUUAGUCCUGG